rnacentral:rRNA from 1 species
UACGUAGGUCCCGAGCGUUGUCCGGAUUUAUUGGGCGUAAAGCGAGCGCAGGUGGUUUAUUAAGUCUGGUGUAAAAGGCAGUGGCUCAACCAUUGUAUGCAUUGGAAACUGGUAGACUUGAGUGCAGGAGAGGAGAGUGGAAUUCCAUGUGUAGCGGUGAAAUGCGUAGGUAUAUGGAGGAACACCGGUGGCGAAAGCGGCUCUCUGGCCUGUAACUGGCACUGAGGCUCGAAAGCGUGGGGAGCAAACAGG